CGGGUAGAGGCUGACGGAACUAUCGGUGGAGCGGUGGAAUGCGUUGAGAUCGAUGGGAACGCCAAAGGCGAAGGCAGUCAGCUGGGCCCGUCCUGACGCUCAGGCACGAAAGCGUGGGGAGCAAACAGGAUUAGAUACCCUGGUAGUCCACGCCCUAAACGAUGUGCACUAGGUCGAUGCGUCUCUGACGGCGUGUUGGCCGAAGAGAAAUUGAUAAGUGCACCGCCUGGGGAGUACGGUCGCAAGGCUAAAACUCAAAGGAAUUGACGGGGGCUCACACAAGCGGUGGAGCAUGUUGCUUAAUUCGAAGCAACGCGAAGAACCUUACCUGGUCUUGACAUGCUUGGAUUAGUCCGGUGAAAGUCGGAUGACGCCCUUUGGGUGGAACUUGCACAGGUGCUGCAUGGCUGUCGUCAGCUCGUGCUGUGAAGUGUCGGGUUAAGUCCCUUAACGAGCGCAACCCUUGCCGCUAGUUGCCAGCACGUAAUGGUGGGGACUCUAGCGGGACUGCCGGUGUUAAACCGGAGGAAGGUGGGGAUGACGUCAAGUCCUCAUGGCCCUUACGACCAGGGUUGCAAACGUGCUACAAUGGCGUGUACAGAGCGACGCGAGGCCGCGAGGCGGAGCAAAUCGCAAAAAACACGCCCCAGUUCGGAUUGCAGGCUGCAACUCGCCUGCAUGAAGCCGGAAUCGCUAGUAAUCGGAGAUCAGCUACGCUCCGGUGAAUACGUUCCUGAGCCUUGUACACACCGCCCGUCAAGUCAUGGGAGCUGGGAGCGCCCGAAGUCAUGGGGUUUCACUCAUGCCCACGGCGAGCUCGGUGACUGGGACUAAGUCGUAACAAGGUAGCCGUAGGAGAACCUGCGGCUGGAUCACCU
rnacentral:rRNA from 1 species